GAUGAAUGCUGGCGGCGUGCCUAACACAUGCAAGUCGAACGAGAAAGGGGCUUCGGCUCCGAGUAAAGUGGCGCACGGGUGAGUAACACGUGGGUAACCUGCCCCUAAGAUUGGGAUAACUCGUCGAAAGAUGAGCUAAUACCGAAUAAGACCACAGUUUCUGCGGGAACAGGGGUCAAAGGUAGCCUCUGCUUGCAAGCUAUCACUUAGAGAUGGGCCUGCGCACCAUUAGCUAGUUGGUAGGGUAAAGGCCUACCAAGGCGACGAUCCGUAGCUGGUCUGAGAGGAUGAUCAGCCACACUGGGACUGAGACACGGCCCAGACUCCUACGGGAGGCAGCAGUGGGGAAUAUUGGACAAUGGGCGCAAGCCUGAUCCAGCAAUGCCGUGUGUGUGAAGAAGGCCUUCGGGUUGUAAAGCACUUUUAGUUGGGAAGAAAAGCUUAUGGUUAAUAACCAUGAGUGCUGACGUUACCAACAGAAAAAGCACUGGCUAACUCUGUGCCAGCCGCCGCCGUAA
rnacentral:rRNA from 1 species